CUAAGACAUGCAAGUCGAACGCANAUUUUGUAGCAAUACGAGAUCUGAGUGGCGAAUGGGUGCGUAUACCAGCGUAGGUUACCUGCCCUGAAGUGGGGAAUAACAGUCCGAAAGUGACUGCUAAUACCGCAUACGUGUUCAAGGCGUUAGCAGAACUUGAACCAAAGUCUCGGCAACGGGCGCUCUCAGGAGGGCGCCUGCGGCCCAUCAGAUAGUUGGUACGUGGUAACGGCCUACCAAGUCAACGACGGGUAGGGGACCUGAGAGGGUGGCCCCCCACACUGGCACUGACAUCACGGGCCAUGACUCCUACGGGAGGCAGCAGUUCGGNGAAUAUUGCCCAAUGGACGAAAGUCUGAGGCAUGCAAUCGCCUGCGUGCGCGAUGAAGGCCUUCGGGUCGUANAGCGCUUUUCGGGAGGAUGAGNAAGGACAGUACUCCCGGAAUAAGGAACGGCUAACUACGCUGUCCAGUCAGCCAGCGGGUAAAACGUAGUUCCGAUGCGUUAUCCGGAUUUACUGGGCGUCAGGUGUUCAGGCGGCUCAGCAAGUCGGGCAUGAAAUCUCUCGGCUCAACCGGGAGAGGCUGUCCGCAUCCUGCUGGGCUUUGAGGGCAGUAAGGGUGGUGGCAAUUCCGGGUGUCGUGGUGAAUGCGUAAAUUCCGGAGGAACACCAGUGGCGAACGCGGCCACCUGGACUGUGNCUGUACGCUCUAAACACGAAGCCUAGGGGAGCCACGGGAUUUAACCCCGUUCUCUCUCCCUAGCCAUAAACGAUGUGACUAGGUGUCACGGUCUAAACCCCCGUUGGUGCCGGAGCAAACGCACUAAGUCAACCGCCUGGGGACUACGGCCGCAAGGUUAAAACUCAAAGGAAUUGACGGGGACCCGCACAAGCAGCGGAGCGUGUGGUUUAAUUCGAGGCUACGCGAAGAACCUUACCAGGGAUUGACAUGACCGUAGUAGUGAAGCGAAAGCGGAACGACCCUUCGGGGAGCGGUCACAGGUGAUGCAUGGCUGUCGUCAGCUCGUGCCGUGAGGUGUUUGGUUAAGUCCACUAACGAGCGCAACCCCUAGGGCCAGUUACACGUGUCUGGUCCGACUGCCGGUAUUAAGCCGGAGGAAGGUGGGGAUGACGUCAAGUCAGCAUGUCCUUUAUACCCUGGGCUACACACACGCUACAAUGGCCGGUACAAUGGGUUGCCAAGCCGCGAGGCGGAGCCAAUCCUCAAAAGCCGGUCUCAGUUCGGAUUGCAGGCUGCAACCCGCCUGCAUGAAGUCGGAGUUGCUAGUAACCGCAGGACAGCUAUACUGCGGUGAAUACGUUCCCGGGUCUUGUACACACCGCCCGUCACGUCAUGGGAGCUGGCAACACCUGAAGCCGGUGGGCGAACCGCAAGGACGCAGCCGUCGAAGGUGGGGUCGGUGACUGGGACGAAGUCGUAACAAGGUAGCUGUAGCGGAAGCUGCGGCUGGAUCACCUCCUU
rnacentral:rRNA from 1 species